GUGGUAUUGUCAAUGUAGCUCAAGUUUCUGGAACUACUCAGGAUCAUUUGCAAGUAUUUCAUAUUGAAACGAAAACGAAGAUGAAAUCAUAUCAAAUCACUCAACAGGUUGUGUUUUGGAAGUGGAUAACCGCAGAGAUGUUAGGCAUAGUCACUCAGACAUCGGUGUAUCAUUGGUCGAUUGAAGGUGAUGGUGAGCCAAUGAAGGUGUUUGAUCGAACAGGUAAUUUGGCAAAUAACCAGAUCAUAAGUCUAUGUGUCUGAGUAUAUGAUGACUAUUGAUGGCUUUGGUGUGUUUCUAUCAUUAGGAAAAGCCCAUUCAAUCAAAGUAGAGAAGAUAUUGUUCAAGGAAAAGUCAUUAUACCAAGAGGUCUUGGUUUUUGAGUUGAAACUGGCUCAGCUACAGCAGCAGCAUCAACAACAGUGGAGCAUCAGUGCACAACACCAGCAACUUCAACAUCAUACUCUUUCAAAUCAGCAGUCUCAGACUUCAAAUCAUAGCAU